GAUGAACGCUGGCGGCGUGCCUAAUACAUGCAAGUCGAGCGAACAGACGCUGAGCUUGCUCCGCGGACGUUAGCCGCGGGCGGGUGAGUAACACGUGGAUAACCUACCUGUCAGACUGGGAUAACUUCGGGAAACCGGAGCUAAUACCGGAUAAUAUAUUGAACCGCAUGGUUCAAUAGUGAAAUACGGUGUUGCUGUCACUUAUAGAUGGAUCCGCGCCGCAUUAGCUAGUUGGUAAGGUAACGGCUUACCAAGGCAACGAUGCGUAGCCGACCUGAGAGGGUGAUCGGCCACACUGGAACUGAGACACGGUCAAGACUCCUACGGGAGGCAGCAGUCGGGAAUCUUCCGCAAUGGGCGAAAGCCUGACGGAGCAACGCCGCGUGAGUGAUGAAGGUGUUCGGAUCGUAAAACUCUGUUAUUAGGGAAGAACAAAUGUGUAAGUAACUAUGCACGUAUUGACGGUACCUAAUCAGAAAGCCACGGCUAACUACGUG
rnacentral:rRNA from 1 species